AAAUACAAGAACUGAAUAACAGAGAAUAUUGUGUAUUAUUAUAAAGAAAAUGGGAAUUCAUAUACUCGUCAAUUACAUGCUACUCCAUACGAUGAAGAGAAACACAAUAUUCUAAUACGCAUUGCUUUUUCUAUGACAUUGACAUGAAAAGAAGAAAAAUAAAUCCUGUCAUGUGAUUUACUAAAACCAUAUUCAUAUAGUUUUUUUUUCCUUUUCUAUAUUAUCAAUUUGUUUAUAUGAUUUUCUACUUGUGGCUUUAUGGCAUCCAAUUCCA
rnacentral:lncRNA from 1 species